rnacentral:rRNA from 1 species
AGAGUUUGAUCCUGGCUCAGGAUGAACGCUGGCGGCGUGCUUAACACAUGCAAGUCGAACGAAGCACUUGAUUUGAUUUUCUUCGGAAUUGAAGAUCUUGUGACUGAGUGGCGGACGGGUGAGUAACGCGUGGGCAACCUGCCUUGUACAGGGGGAUAACAGUUAGAAAUGACUGCUAAUACCGCAUAAGACCACAGCACCACAUGGUGCAGGGGUAAAAACUGAGGUGGUACAAGAUGGGCCCGCGUCUGAUUAGCUGGUUGGUGAGGUAACGGCUCACCAAGGCGACGAUCAGUAGCCGACCUGAGAGGGUGACCGGCCACAUUGGGACUGAGACACGGCCCAAACUCCUACGGGAGGCAGCAGUGGGGAAUAUUGCACAAUGGGGGAAACCCUGAUGCAGCGACGCCGCGUGAGUGAUGAAGUAUUUCGGUAUGUAAAGCUCUAUCAGCAGGGAAGAAAAUGACGGUACCUGACUAAGAAGCCCCGGCUAACUACGUGCCAGCAGCCGCGGUAAUGCGUAGGGGGCAAGCGUUAUCCGGAUUUACUGGGUGUAAAGGGAGCGUAGACGGAACAGCAAGUCUGAUGUGAAAACCCGGGGCUCAACCCCGGGACUGCAUUGGAAACUGUUGAUCUAGAGUGUCGGAGAGGUAAGUGGAAUUCCUAGUGUAGCGGUGAAAUGCGUAGAUAUUAGGAGGAACACCAGUGGCGAAGGCGGCUUACUGGACGAUGACUGACGUUGAGGCUCGAAAGCGUGGGGAGCAAACAGGAUUAGAUACCCUGGUAGUCCACACCGUAAACGAUGAUUACUAGGUGUUGGAGGAUUGACCCCUUCAGUGCCGCAGUUAACACAAUAAGUAAUCCACCUGGGGAGUACGACCGCAAGGUUGAAACUCAAAGGAAUUGACGGGGGCCCGCACAAGCAGUGGAGUAUGUGGUUUAAUUCGACGCAACGCGAAGAACCUUACCAAGUCUUGACAUCCCUUGACAGACAUAGAAAUAUGUAAUCUCUUCGGAGCAAGGAGACAGGUGGUGCAUGGUUGUCGUCAGCUCGUGUCGUGAGAUGUUGGGUUAAGUCCCGCAACGAGCGCAACCCUUAUGGUCAGUUACUACGCAAGAGGACUCUGGCCAGACUGCCGUUGACAAAACGGAGGAAGGUGGGGAUGACGUCAAAUCAUCAUGCCCUUUAUGACUUGGGCUACACACGUACUACAAUGGCGUUAAACAAAGAGAAGCAAGACCGCGAGGUGGAGCAAAACUCAGAAACAACGUCCCAGUUCGGACUGCAGGCUGCAACUCGCCUGCACGAAGUCGGAAUUGCUAGUAAUCGUGGAUCAGCAUGCCACGGUGAAUACGUUCCCGGGCCUUGUACACACCGCCCGUCACACCAUGAGAGCCGGGGGGACCCGAAGUCGGUAGUCUAACCGCAAGGAGGACGCCGCCGAAGGUAAAACUGGUGAUUGGGGUGAAGUCGUAACAAGGUA